CAGUAGCCGCGGUAAUACGAAGGUCCCGAGCGUUGUUCGGAAUCACUGGGCGUAAAGGGAGCGUAGGCGGCGUGGUAAGUCAGAUGUGAAAUCCCGGGGCUCAACCCCGGAACUGCAUCCGAUACUGCCGUGCUAGAGGAUUGGAGAGGUAGCUGGAAUUCUUGGUGUAGCAGUGAAAUGCGUGGAGAUCAAGAGGAACACUCGUGGCGAAAGCGAGCUACUGGACAAUAUCUGACGCUGAGGCUCGAAGGCCAGGGUAGCGAAAGGGAUUAGAUACCCGCGUAGUCCCUGUCUCUUAUAC
rnacentral:rRNA from 1 species